AACUGUGUUUUAAUAGACAUUUUACAGUGGGGAUAUCACUUGCAACUUGACAUAAAAUCUGAACUGCACCAUACUUACAGUGGAAACUUGUGAGAAGUUAAUUAAAAUGUCGGUAUUAUUUUACUGCUUAAUGGGUUUGGGAAAUGCCCUUCAUAAAAAUAAUGACCCUGGAUGUGGUGGUUCAGCUGGAUGGGGGUGAUUCUUUCCUCACCACCUGAAUCCAGCACAGCAGCCAGCUGUACAAGUAGAUGUGGCUGCUGGUGUAAGCAGGCACCAGUAUGUAUGUGUAAAGCGGCUGGGGAACACAUACUCAGUCAGGAUUUGCAUACACCAUCCUGUAAUUCAGGCACGUUGUCAUGACAGGCUAUUUCUGGGCAUGGUGGGUCAUUACUGGCUUAAUAAGAGCUUCCUCUAAAGCUGGCAAAGGCCCUCUCCUGUCCCUGACUCAGGGGCUAUUGUCAGGGAGAAAGACUUGGAGUAGAAGGUGAAGGUGAGCAUGGAAGGGUGGGUUCAAGAAGAGCCAUCACUUCAUGAGUGCUGCAGGUCUUCUGGAGGGCACGUUUAUGGUCUGUGGCCUCCCAAAUCUUGGAAAGCACUCCUUGCAAGUGGCACAGGGCAGGGAGAAGUCGGUAGCAGCAUCUGCUUUCACCCUCUGGAGACCAGAGAGUUGUUAAUUCCUUUGAAUAUUCUUUAGGGGGCAUUAAUUGCUAUUCAUCAGUAACUACUAGGGUACUCUGUUGGAAGAUUGACACAGAAACUUUGGUGUCUUUAUCCAGUUUUGUCCUCUUAGGAAUCAUAGAAAGGUUUGUAGAAUGUAAUCCAUGUAAGUAAAGGAUAUUUUUUAAUUCUUUUUUUUGUUUCGGUACAACAGUAGCAUAAUUAUUGCACAUAAUUUUGCAAUGAAUUUUUGUGUAAAAAUAGUAUAAUUGCAAUCUAUUCACUCUUCUUGAUCAUCUACAGGUCUGUCUCCCAUUCAUUUGAAUGGAUUCAAAAUUAAUGGUUUUUCCUGUUCCUUAUAAUGAUAAAUGACCGUAACUAGAUCGCAGAGUUUUGCUUACAUACGUAAAUGAUGCUAAAUCAAUUUGAGGUGCAUUCAUCUCUUUUGAGGUUGAUGAAUUGCAAAUUAGGAGUACUGGGAACCUGUUACUCCUCUUUUCCUGGCCCCCAGCCCCAACAUUCACCCCAGUUAUAUUAUGUUUCACUUUUUAAAAGAUGAUUGUUACAUUAAUGCUAGUGAGGAUAGGAACUCCAGUGUGUGAAAUACAAAUGUAGAAGGAAAGCUUAGCCCUAAAGAGCUGAAAUACUAGUUAACAGGAUUGUAGGAAGAGGUCAUGUAGAAAAGAUGGAGAAAAAAGUGAAAACAGAGCAGUAAUGCUUUAUAUAACUCUGUCUUACACAGAAUGCAUGAUAUGAAGACUUCUGGUGGGAGGUCUUCUGAAACAUAUAUAAACUCCUGACUAGAGUGCUCUCAUGACAGAGCAAAGACUGUUUAUGGAAAAUCAGCAGGUUUGCAGUGCUCUCUGUAAAGGUGCUCCUUGACUUUGCAAAGCUCUAGUAGAAAUCCAAGGAUGUGCCUGUCAAGAGUCAAGGUUUAAGGGCGAAGUGAUACUGAAGAGGCUGUGCUGGGGUCUGACCUAAAGCCCCUAAAUAAGAUGUGGAGGGUGAGGCUUUCUACAGACAAUUAUAGAAGUCUCCUGAUUGCAAGCUUUUGGGUCUCAUUUCUCAUGGGACAUUUCAGCUAUCCAGAUAUGUACUGCUAGGCUUGCACCAUGUAAGCAACCCAAGAAGUCCCUAGACUAUGUUGCUCAGUUUAUAAUGCAAAUGGUGGAGGGGCUGUAUUUGACCUGCUGCUUGCAAAGUGGGAAGAACUGGCAGAAAGUAUGGCAGAAAUGGCAACUUGGGCUGCAGCGACCAUGAGAUAAUCGAGUUCAAGGCGCAGAGAAAGGCUGGGAAGAGAAGCAGCAGAAAGAAGGACCCUGGACUUUAUAGAACAGAGUUUGGCUUAGGGAAGUUGUGUGCAAAAUUCCUAGGGAGCUGCCAAAAGGGAAAGGGGAACAGGAGGGCUGGCUGAUUUAAAAGGGAAAAAAAUAAAUAAAUUAUUUUAAAAAAAUCAAAACCCCAGGCAAAACUAGGCAAAACCCCCAAAACUUGCUGAGACGUGAAGAACAAUCUGCCUUGUUGUACAGGAUGGGCUUUCAGCAGAAGGCUCUCCUGACCAAGCAUGGAGUUGCAUGGUGAGCCAGUAAUGCAACCACAUAGCAUGCAAGAAUUGAAAAGAUGAAUGUACAACAAAGGAAGAGUAUAAAGAUAUUGUUCAAGCCUUUUUUUGGCAAAAAUGAGUAAGGUCAAGGCCCAUCUGGAGCUAAUAUGAGAAGAGGGCAUUUAGCGUAACAAGAAGGGAUUCUACAGGAACACAGAUUACAAAAGAAGUUCAAAGAGCAUGUAGGCCUUUGGGGGAGAACAAAAAACCAUUACAAAACAGGGUCCGCAGUGUCUUUUUUGAGUCAGACAAAGUUUACUCCCAGCUUUAUACAUACCAUCACUAUUUGAUAUAGAAGAUAGCCUACAGGGAAGGAGUAAUGAGUCAGAGACAACUACAACUGGAUAUAAUCAGAUCCAUAGGGCUUGAUGAGAUUCAUCAGUAUUGAAAGAGUUACUUGUUACCUAUCAUCUGUGAAAAAUCAGGGUGAUCUACAGAGGCCCAUGAAGACUGGAAAAAGGCUAAAGACUGAAAGGCCUGUCUUGCAUAUGGGCAGAAAGGAGAAUCCAGGGAACAAUAUGACAGUUAUUGUAACCUCAUUCACUGAAAAAGAACAUCUUGAAAUUCAUUUUCAAACAUAGCAAAGACAAGAAGCCAGUGGCCUGUAUGAGGAGGCAGAUGGCACCGUUAGCAAAUUUACAGACUGUGUUAAGUGGGGGGGAGUGAUUGACACACAGAAUAGCAGAGCUUUAGUCCAGAGGAAUCUUCAGAAAGUUGAAGGCUGGGACAACAGAAGUUUCAUGAGCUUAAGCAAGAAGAAAUGCAAGUUUCUGCAUUCAGGGCAGAGUAACUCCAGCAGUGGUACAAAGUGGUAGCUGUCUAAACAGCAGCCUGGCUGGAAAGGACCUCAGGGUUAUGGUGAACUGGUUGAACCAUGUAUGGUUGAGCCAAAAGGCAAAGGCAAGGUAGACCACACACUGGGCUAGAAGCAGCAUAGCCAGCAGAUCAAGUUGUUCUCAUCUGCCUUUACUUGGCACUGGUUAGGCCAUACCUGGAAUCAUGCAUCCCUUACUGGGCCUCCUUCCUCCCCCCAUUUCAAAGAAGGCUGUAAAGGGGCUGGAGAGAUCCAGCAGAGAGCUGCCAGGAUACUGAAGGACCAAGAGCACAAGCAGAGGUUGACAGAUCAGUCUGGUGAAGAGGAGGCCGUAGGGAACAUGUUACUGAGAGAGACUAUGCAACCUCCACCCUGGGAAAUUUUGGAAGAGUUGGCCAGACAAACCAACCAGACAAACUGAUGGGACUUAGUGCAGGUGAUACCCAUGGUAUCAUGCAAGAGGAUGGACUAAAUGAUUUCCACAGGUCACUUUCAAGCAACUUUCUAUGAUUCUAUUAUAAACAUCAUCUGUAAGUAAUAAGAGAUACCUAUAUGAUUGCACAGAUGCAAAGACAAAUCUUAUCAAGAUGAGAUGGGCUUCUGGGUCAGGGCAAGAGCAAAAAUCUCUAGGAAUGUUUUUAAUGAUGUUACAUUUUUCUUUUACAUGUGUCGUAACAAAGGAAUGCUUAUGUUUUUCUGCCUCCAGGAAAUGUUUCCUGAAACACUGUUCUUCCUCUUCGUGAUAGCCACUGAGCAGAGUUUGUUCUGUUUCCCAGUAUUAGUCUAUGUCUGUCUGCAGGUUCCUACUUCUUCUGGGAGUUUGAAGUCACUUCUGCUGAACUUUUCCUUGUUAUGCACUUGUAACAUUUGGUACCUGAGUCAUGACUCCUGAAACUUUCUCUUGAUUUUUGCCUUUGAGUGUCUUUAUUGGGUUUGGUUGGGUUUUGUUGCUGUUACUGGUUUUAACAACCUUUAUCCUAGAUCAUACAAUUGCAAUGAGCAUAACUUUUAUAAAAGCUUGAUUUGUGAUCUUCUCAUUUACUCCACUUCAGUUUCCUCCAUAUUAGGGAGUACACAGUUCCCAUCCUUCCAAAAGCCCAACCAGAUUUUUUCCAAGUGAAAAAAUAUUGCUUCAGCUAAUGUGUUGCUCCUCUGAGCUCUCAGAGGAGAGCAGGGUGUAGUGGAGACACCAGGAUUGUAUUUUUUUGAGGUCUGUGAGAGAGGAGGAGCAUGGAAGUAGGUGCAGAAUAGCCAUCAAAUUCACUGAGACAUUAUAAAUAUUCCCUCUGCAUUUCAAUGUAAACCUGAGACAGUUCAAUGUACUUGCAAGCUCCUGCUGCGCUGAAACUAGGCUGUGGUCUCCUUGGUCUCCAGAUAGUACCUUUUUCAAGGGAGUGUAUGUGGGACUUUCUCAGGCUUUCCAGUUACGUCUGUUCUGCCGUAUAUUAAUAGUCAUUGAACCACAGAAAGACUGACUUGGCUUCCUUCACAUUCUUGUUGUGAAUCAGGCAGAGCUGGGACUUGUGUCUGGUUCUCUCAUGUGCUACAUGAAUUUCCCUGACAAGCAAAUUACUAUUAUCCUGUCAUUCUUUUCUUCCUAGUUUUAACCAAAGUUUGUGCCUCUCCUUGUUGAUACUGCCUUAUUUUCCCCAAAGCUUGUAUUUGACUAAUGAAUAUUUUUAACAAUAACAGAAAUUACAUUUUUCUGUAGCCACACAACUAGGAAUCCUAGAAUCUUAAUUGGGCUGGUUAUUUGUACACAAAAGGAACAAAGACUGUAGGAGACCCCAGACAGCUGAUGAGUGACAGGAUUCAAUAGGCUGAAGCAAAAAAAGAAAUGGAAAGUGGCUGUGUGAGCAUUCAUGAGAAGGGAAAGGUGUUGGAGAAAUGGUGAAAUGAAUAUAGAAGAUUGGAAAAAUGGUUCUUUGCUUGUUGUCUGUUCCAUCCGUACCCCUUUCCCCAGUGUGCUCUUGUUAAUAACACCCUUUGAAUUAAACUUCCAAAAGUUGUAUACAGUUUUCUGGGACUGACUUGGACCUUUUCUGGGAUUAUGACUAUUAUUAUCUAGGCUUUUUCUAUUAUAUUUGGUGGUUUCCAUUCCUUUGUGUUAUUGUUACAUUAUCUUCCUUGUUUUCUCUUUUGUUAUGUACUACUUCAUAUUUGAAUGUGUGCUACUCUGUCAGGUGCCAUUUGAUUCUGUCCUUUCUGAUCUUUUUACAUAUUUCUCCAACUUCGCCUCCUUUUGAUUGGCUAUUAGCUGUAUCAUUGCUCUCAUUAAUUAGUUUCUGACAAUGAUUUGAGAUUUCACUUUUUCAGCUGCACAUUUUGGUUUUACUUUGAUACUACUUCUCCACUUUCCAUUACUAUCCCUAAACAGUGUGAGCCUGUAGUGAUUUCUGUGAUUCAGCCACAGAACAAAUAUUGCUGUCAAUGAAACUGAAAGCAACUGCAGUGGUGUAUUCAGAGGAAAAAGAGCUGGCCCUUAGUUUCUGCAUUUAUGUCCUGUGUUAGUCUCAAUGGUAAAAGGAGAAGAGGAUGUUAAACAGUAGCAACACAGUAGCAUCUCCAUCACUGUGUGAAGCUGAUCCCAAGUAUGACAGUAAGUUCUUACCUAUUGAAGCAGUCUCUCACUGCCUGCAGAAGAAAGCAGCAAGACAGAGUUUUAAUUGUGUUUGGCUGCUCCUUUGAGGUUCCAUGCA